CCUUGAAAGCCUGUCUAGACA
rnacentral:miRNA from 1 species